GCCUGCCCUGUGACCUAGGUUUAACGGCCGCGGUAUCUUGACCGUGCAAAGGUAGCGCAAUCACUUGUCUUUUAAAUGGAGACCUGUAUGAAUGGCUAAACGAGGGCUUAACUGUCUCCUCCCCCCAGUCAGUGAAAUUGAUCUUCCCGUGCAGAAGCGGGAAUUCUUACAUAAGACGAGAAGACCCUAUGGAGCUUUAGACACACCACGGACCAUCUUAAAUCCCUUAGACUAAAAAAUCAACUGGCCCCCGUGUCUAUGUCUUUGGUUGGGGCGACCACGGGGAAAUAAACAACCCCCAUGUGGAACAUGGGCACAUCAACUAGCCCUUUAACUUCAGAGCGACAGCUCCAAAAAUCAGAAUAUCUGACCUUUCAGAUCCGGCAAAGCCGAUCAACGAACCGAGUUACCCUAGGGAUAACAGCGCAAUCCUCUUUUAGAGCCCAUAUCGACAAGAGGGUUUACGACCUCGAUGUUGGAUCAGGACCUCCUAAUGGUGCAGCCGCUAUUUAGGGUUCGUUUGUUCAACGAUUAAAGUCCUACGUGAUCUGA
rnacentral:rRNA from 1 species